rnacentral:rRNA from 1 species
CCAGCUUCCAGGAAAAGCCUCUAAGCUUCAGUUACAGAUUGACCGUACCGCAAACCGACACAGGUGGGCAGGAUGAAAAUUCUAAGGCGCUUGAGAGAACUCAGGAGAAGGAACUCGGCAAAUUGAUACCGUAACUUCGGGAGAAGGUAUGCCCCGGUAGCGUGAAGCCCCUGCGGGUGGAGCGUGAUGGGGUCGCAGAGAAUCGGUGGCUGCAACUGUUUAAUAAAAACACAGCACUCUGCAAAGGCGAAAGCCGACGUAUAGGGUGCGACGCCUGCCCGGUGCCGGAAGGUUAAGUGAUGGGGUGCAAGCUCUUGAUCGAAGCCCCGGUAAACGGCGGCCGUAACAAUAACGGUCCUAAGGUAGCGAGAUUCCUUGUCGGGUAAGUUCCGACCUGCACGAAUGGCGUAAUGAUGGCCACACUGUCUCCUCCUGAGACUCAGCGAAGUUGAAAUGUUUGUGAAGAUGCAAUCUCCCCGCGGCUAGACGGAAAGACCCCAUGAACCUUUACUGUAGCUUUGCAUUGGACUUUGACGGGACUUGUGUAGGAUAGGUGGGAGGCUGUGAGGCGUGGUCGCCAGAUCGCGCGGAGCCGACGUUGAAAUACCACCCUGGUGUCGUUGAGGUUCUAACCUUGGUCCGUGAAUCCGGAUCGGGGACCGUGCAUGGCAGGCAGUUUGACUGGGGCGGUCUCCUCCCAAAGUGUAACGGAGGAGUACGAAGGUCUUCUAAGCACGGUCGGACAUCGUGCUCAUAGUGCAAUGGCAAAAGAAGGCUUGACUGCGAGUCCCACAAGACGAGCAGGUGCGAAAGCAGGUCAUAGUGAUCCGGUGGUUCUGUAUGGAAGGGCCAUCGCUCAACGGAUAAAAGGUACUCUGGGGAUAACAGGCUGAUUCCGCCCAAGAGUUCAUAUCGACGGCGGAGUUUGGCACCUCGAUGUCGGCUCAUCACAUCCUGGGGCUGUAGCCGGUCCCAAGGGUAUGGCUGUUCGCCAUUUAAAGUGGUACGUGAGCUGGGUUUAAAACGUCGUGAGACAGUUUGGUCCCUAUCUGCCGUGGGCGCUGGAAAUUUGAGGGGGCCUGCUCCUAGUACGAGAGGACCGGAGUGGACGAACCUCUGGUGUACCGGUUGUCACGCCAGUGGCAUCGCCGGGUAGCUAAGUUCGGAAGAGAUAAACGCUGAAAGCAUCUAAGCGUGAAACUCGCCUCAAGAUGAGAUUUCCCGGGAGUUCAACUCCCCUGAAGGGUCGUCCAAGACCAGGACGUUGAUAGGUCAGGUGUGGAAGCG